GAUGAACGCUGGCGGCGUGCCUAAUACAUGCAAGUCGAACGCUUCACUUCGGUGAAGAGUGGCGAACGGGUGAGUAAUACAUAAGUAACCUGGCAUCUACAGGGGGAUAACUGAUGGAAACGUCAGCUAAGACCGCAUAGGUGUAGAGAUCGCAUGAACUCUAUAUGAAAAGUGCUACGGGACUGGUAGAUGAUGGACUUAUGGCGCAUUAGCUUGUUGGUAGGGUAACGGCCUACCAAGGCGACGAUGCGUAGCCGACCUGAGAGGGUGACCGGCCACACUGGGACUGAGACACGGCCCAGACUCCUACGGGAGGCAGCAGUAGGGAAUUUUCGGCAAUGGGGGAAACCCUGACCGAGCAACGCCGCGUGAAGGAAGAAGUAAUUCGUUAUGUAAACUUCUGUCAUAGAGGAAGAACGGUGGAUAUAGGGAAUGAUAUCCAAGUGACGGUACUCUA
rnacentral:rRNA from 1 species